rnacentral:rRNA from 1 species
GAUGAACGCUGGCGGCGUGCCUAAUACAUGCAAGUCGAGCGAACGGACGAGAAGCUUGCUUCUCUGGUGUUAGCGGCGGACGGGUGAGUAACACGUGGAUAACCUACCUAUAAGACUGGGAUAACUUCGGGAAACCGGAGCUAAUACCGGAUAAUAUUUUGAACCGCAUGGUUCAAAAGUGAAAGACGGUCUUGCUGUCACUUAUAGAUGGAUCCGCGCUGCAUUAGCUAGUUGGUAAGGUAACGGCUUACCAAGGCAACGAUGCAUAGCCGACCUGGGAGGGUGAUCGGCCACACUGGAACUGAGACACGGUCCAGACUCCUACGGGAGGCAGCAGUAGGGAAUCUUCCGCAAUGGGCGUAAGCCUGACGGAGCAACGCCGCGUGAGUGAUGAAGGUCUUCGGAUCGUAAAACUCUGUUAUUAGGGAAGAACAUAUGUGUAAGUAACUGUGCACAUCUUGACGGUACCUAAUCAGAAAGCCACGGCUAACUACGUG